AGGACGGGUCUCACCUGCUUUAUAUGAGACCUGGUCUCAUAUAAUUUUUUUCCCACAACAAGGAGGGCUCAGAAACUGAAGUUACUGGAGACAGUGCUGGAGCUGAUGGUCCGGUGCGCACCAAAGAAGCUUCUCCUGUCCUCUUCACAGCAUUGCAAUCAUUCAAAGAAGCUUUGAUUGAUGGCGACGGCACCAAAAUCGCGGAGAUGGAGGCCUUCUUACUUGAUGCUGAGCUCGGCUCUCUUCUGAACAGAAUCACUACUUUAGAUGUAGCAUUAGCAGCUGGGAGAGACCGUGUGUUGAGAAUAGGUGCUCGCCCUGAUAUCUGUAGGGAAGAGAUGGGGAGAGAGGGUUGGUGGCAGAUGUUCAAGGGGGUGUUGUGGAGAUUUUCUUUCCGGCUCUUUGCCAGUUGAUCUUGGAUUAAGCUUAGGUGAAAAUGCGUUGCUGAUUUAGUUAUUGGAUGGUGUGAAGUGUGAACUGAA